AUAAGGGAUGCUUCUUUUAGCUGAGUCAACAUUACGAUUGCUGUUAUGAUAUAGAUUUUAUUAAUAGCUCAUAUUUGCGUAACACAGAGGGAUUUCAUCAUUGCUUCUAUACAUAGGAAUAAGCUGUAACUGACAGCGUGAGCUCUCAUUUUGUAACACAGCCAUGUUGGCCCACACUUCCUGCUCUUGUGCAAAGCAAUUUCACAGGCAACCACAAGUUUCUUCACUCUCCUUUUACUCGCUUGAACGCUCUCCACCUACAGCCCGUCCAUAUCUCAGUAAUAACCUGUUACAAUAAACGAAUCCAGCUGCUAAAUCUAAAUCAUUAACCCAUUUCUUGAUUGGGGAAAUUUGCGGCAGCGUGCACAUAUCAGCAUCCAGGCAGUGGAGCGGCGAGUGAGUUAUAACAGGAACUGAUAACAGAGCAGUAAACAUCAGCUGACACAAGAUAAAUCAGACACCCACUCCAGCAUCCUCAUCACUGCUGGGGCUCGGCUGCACUGGAAUUUGGUUGCCAGGGAACCCAAAAAAAAUCCACAAGCCUGUCCUCAGUUUUAAGCAAACGCGAUAUUGGCAGUGACUUUUAAGGUUUAAGAAAUAAGCUAAUGCUCUGGAUUAAUGUUGUCUCAUAAGAAUCAGAAAACUGUUAAUUGCUUCUUUAACAGAUUUAAACCUCACAUUUAACACGGGGCCAUAAAACGCCUAAAGCGAUAUGUGACAAAUCAGCCUGAGAUCGUUGGUCAGCAAGCGAUUGAAGCGACUACCAAUCAGAGUGAAGGAUACAGCUAAUCGACAUAUGACAGGAUGCUCCUCAGCUGAGCUCUUGUUACAACAGCAGAGAUGUCAAUCAGAUGCUUUUGGAAAAGAGACACGAGGGUUAUGUGAAGUGCAGCAGCUCAGUGUGUGAAUGUAAACACAGACAAAGGAGGCGGAUUAUGAGACAGAAGAACAGCAGGAGGAUUACUUGACAGCCACAGACGUAGGAAUGGAGAGAUUGCUUUGUCACUAUAGCUAACUGCAAGGAUGCUACUAGCAUGCUAACAAAGCUUUCUAGUAAAAUUCACAAAACUGUGUCCCAGUUUUUUUGUUCUUUGUUGUUUGUUUGUUUGUUUUUUUUACUGUUUUUAUAUUCCAUAUUAUAUAUAUUUGUGUUUGAGUAACCAGCAUGUUUGAUAAUGUACAGCAGCAUUUGCUAUUAGCAUUUAUGCUAACGCUAAAAUUAUGUAAUCUCGCUUGUGCUAAUCAUCUUUAUGUUAGCAACUGAGAAUCAUUCCUUUAUGUAAGAUAACGUUAGACUUGACUUACACUUGCUCACAUAACUUUAUAAAACAAAACCUAAAAAAAUAAAUACAAUUAAUGAAUUAAUGACGACAGGCAUGUUUUCACUGUUCUUAUGCCCCUUUCCCUGAUUGUAAUCUUCUCACACACACAAACAAACAAACAAACACACACACUCACACACACAUACAUUGUGGGUAGAGUGGAACUGACAGGAGACAAGUGAAGCGAAAUAAUGUUAAUCAGGCCGUUGAAAGUACAUAAUGUUACCAUAAGAGGAGUAAAAUAAGUCUUCCACCAAGCUUAAUAAGAAUGAGAGCGAGACCAUUGUCACCAAUGAAGCAAAAAUGAAGGAAAGCAUAGUUGCACCACCUCCAUGUAUGUAUAUAAAGUCGAUUUCCACGUUGUCACUGUUGUACUUGAUCUAGCUUUUUGAGUCAGGAUCAGACUGGUACUGGAUGAAAAUGAUCAAAGUUUGUUCAAAUAUGUCCAAGUAAUAGAGAUUAUUUUUCAUUCUUUUUCAUCUCUAUGCCAAAACAUCAGGUAUGAACUCAACAGUGUAUUCUUCUCUGGUAACCUCAUUUCAUUCCAGUGUGUCAGAAAUGACAAACACAGGUACAUCCACCACAUAUGCGCAAAGCAGCUGAGAAGGUGAAUGGGAAGC